AACGAACGCUGGCGGCAUGCCUAACACAUGCAAGUCGAACGAGACCUUCGGGUCUAGUGGCGCACGGGUGCGUAACGCGUGGGAACCUGCCCUUAGGUUCGGAAUAACUCCCCGAAAGGGGUGCUAAUACCGGAUAAUGUCUUCGGACCAAAGAUUUAUCGCCUUUGGAUGGGCCCGCGUUGGAUUAGCUAGUUGGUAGGGUAAAAGCCUACCAAGGCGACGAUCCAUAGCUGGUCUGAGAGGAUGAUCAGCCACACUGGGACUGAGACGCGGCCCAGACUCCUCCGGGAGGCAGCAGUGGGGAAUAUUGGACACUGGGCGAAAGCCUGAUCCAGCAAUGCCGCGUGAGUGAUGAAGGCCUUAGGGUUGUAAAGCUCUUUUACCCGGGAUGAUAAUGACAGUACCGGGAGAAUAAGCUCCGGCUAACUCCGUG
rnacentral:rRNA from 1 species